GGAAAGAGCGGCAGGGGGAGCGGCCCGGCACGGCCCGUCUCGGUCUGGUCUGCAGGAGUUGUGGCGGCCGCACGCCGCGAUGGGUCGCGUCGCUCCUCCGGAGUGCCACGGCGUAUUCUGCUUACGAUCAAAGUUCCCGCGCGUGGCGAGCAGAGCACCGUGCGGUUUUGUGUCUGCGGAGCGAAGCGAGGCCUGGGCGCGGCGGGACCUCAGCCGUGCGGUGAAGGUCGCGGCUGCGGGUCGGGAGCGGCCUGUAGGGAGCGAAAGCAAAAGCAAAGCCAGGCCGGGCAGGAGGAGCCUUGCGCUGAGGGACGGGCGGCCUGCGGACCGCGCCUGGCCGGCUCUCCAGGCAUAGGGGCAGCUGCUGCCGUCGGUCUGAGCUCGCAAGUUUGAGGCCGCUGCUGAGAGCCGAACGAGAUGUGGAAGACCCCGUAGGUCCCGAGGGGAAAGUCAGCGACUGCCCCCUCCUCUCACAACGUUUCACAACUAAAUCAAAAGUCAUCGUGCAGCAGAAGAGGGUGAAAGGAGAUAACGACAGAAGGGGAGGAGCGGGGCUGUGUCCUUUCACAGACCGGGCAGUGAAUGUGAGGGAAUGGGACCUGCAGUGGAUCAGCAGAGAUUCUGAGAACUGAAGGCCUCACCAGAAUGAACAGAAUCAGUGGGUUACAGUGUAUGAGCACAAAGUCUUACUAGCCACUCUCUUACUCCUUCCUGUCCCUGACCUCAAGGUACAGAACCUUCUAUGAGGGACAUGAUAGAGAUCCCUCAUCUUCAUGCAGGAUCUUCUUCCCUUUUUGUUGCUGGAGGACAACAUGAACUCCUCCUGCUAACUCCUGGACCUUUCUUUAGUCCGUCUUUCUGAGCUAUGAGGCCAGCAGAAGCUCCCGUGUAUCCUGCUCUCUGUGGGACAACACCCAUUGCAGUGGGCAGGGGCUGGGUCCCUCUGUGUGAAGAAGCGGCAGAGGAGAACUAGCUAGAAGGGCUGGAAAGGCAUACUGGGGAACCUCCUGCUAUGAUAAGAGCAGUAACUGCUUUUGUAUACCAACCAAAUGGAAACUGAAAACUCUAUAAUAAAACCAACAGUAAGUGACUUUCAGAUCAGAAAACAGGUUUGCAAGACACAGUUUGUGAGCACGCCAUGGAAUGCAAACUGCCUCAUGUUUUUUGGGGUCAGAGGAGGAAGCCAUCCCUCCCAUCUACAAAGAUCAGCUUGGGUUUUACUAACUUCUGUGCAGGCAGAUGCUCGCAUCUCCAGCAGGGAGGCCAAACCUCUGAUGACGAUUCUCUUCUUCUGGUCAAAAUGUCAUCUCCAGCAUCUGCUACCUGACCCUAACUGCAGAAGAGAAUUCUUACCACUUGGAUUCUAACAUAGCAUCUCCACAGAGCAAGGAGGCUUAUAAAGAAGAUGUAAUACUUGUGGGAAAUUUGUGUCAUCGUAAAGCAGUAAAGGAAUGAGGGGAGGAGUGUGUGUAAACUGUUUAUAGUUGCUGUUUUGAUGCUAAAUUAUUAUUUUGCUGUUGGAAAUUCUUUUUGUUGAUGUAAGUUGUGAAGUUUAGGUGAUGAAUCUUCAUAAAGGUACAUUUUCAUAGUAAUGUAAAUAAUGUUUCAGCAUAUUUCUAUCAUGAGUUUUUGAACACCCAUGUCUCACACUGGUGUCACCUUCAGUGGAUGGCAAAUUCUGAGACACUUCUGCCUAAGCUUUUAAUGAAAAUAAACUAUUUUAUUU
ensembl:lncRNA